CCAAAAAUCUAGCCCUCUCACUUACUAUGUACUAACAACAAAAUAAAAUAUUCUAACACCUAAGUAAUGAUGAUUAAAAAGCUUGUCGGAGCAAUAGAUCCUGUACCGCAAGGGAAAGAUGAAAUAAAUGAAAUAUUUAAGCAAAAAACAGUAGAGACUUGUACUCGUACCUUUUGCAUCAUGGUUUAACUAGUUUCUUCAAGCACAAAGAAUUAAAGUUUGUAUUCCCGAAACUGAGUGAGCUACUUCAUGGCAGCUUACUAGCAAACCCGUCUCUGUCGCAAAAGAGUGGGAAGACCAUCAAGUAGAAGUGACAAACCUAACGAGCUCAGUGAUAGCUGGUUUCUCGAGAAAAGAAUUUUAGUUCCACCUAAAGAUACUACAAUAUUUACAAAUAACAACUUAACUUUAGAGUAAUUCACACAAGGUACAGCCUGUUUGAAAAAGGACACAACCUCUAGCCGCGGGUAAUAACAUCUAAACAAUAUCAAGUGGGCCUAAAAGCAGCCAUCUUAGUAAAAUGCGUCAAAGCUUCAUAUUAUUAAAUUCCUUAAACUUCAUAGACCCCCCCCCCCCCAUCGAGAACUCCUAUACAUGUAUAGAAAAUUUUAUGUUAAAACUAGUAACAAGAAACAAUUCUCUUAAGUAUGAGUGUAAGCUAUUAACCCCAACUAGCGCUUAUUCAGACAUGAAAAAUAAUAGUAACU
rnacentral:rRNA from 1 species